rnacentral:tRNA from 4 species
GCCGAGGUAGCUCAGUUGGCAGAGCGAGGCUUUCGUAAAGCUUAGGUCGUGGGUUCGACUCCCACCCUCGGCU